GGGUGUAGCCAAGCGGUAAGGCAACGGAUUUUGAUUCCGUCCACCGAAGGUUCGAUUCCUUCCACCC
rnacentral:tRNA from 1 species